UUUGAGAUUCUGUUUCACAGUCUGUGUUUAUAUAUGUGUCAGGUCCGUCAGGUGUUUGAAAAGUAUGGUAAUGUCACCGAGAUCAUCCUACCCAGAGAUAAGAUGAGCAGUGAACGAGCAGGUGACUUGAGGAUGUUCUUUUUACUGAUCAUCCUUGCUUCUUGAGAUUAGCUUAUAACAAUCCUCUUUUGCAGCUUACUGUUUUGUUAAGUACAGAAAGUUAGAAGAGGGUAAUGCCGCUAUUGCAGCUUUAACAGAUCAGUAUACCUUUCCUGGGGUGGGUCUUCGCUUCUAAACGUUUCUUCACUGACGUAUGAUUCUUUUCAAAAGGUUUUUAUAUAUUUUCAUUACUUCAGGAAAUGUCUCCAGUUCAGGUUAGAUAUGCCGGCGCAGAACGUGAGCGGAUUGGUAAAGAUUGCUCUUUCAUGCUCUUAAGAAAAUAGAAAGUAACUAUACUAAGACAAAAUGAUUGGAAUGGGAACUUUUGAAAAACAAAAAUCAUGUCCGACAACUUACUGACUAGUGAGUAUUUGAUUUCUCAUUGCCUCUCCUUCUCCCUCUCAUUUUGUAUAUUCUGUUUCCAUCUUGAGUUUAGGUGUUUCAACAGUGCAAAUUCCUGAUAAAUUAUACGUUAGAUGCCUUAACAAACAAACAACAAAGACGGACGUCCAUGAGGUAUCGUUGGAGUCCUUUUUCGUUUUUGAUUUUCAUUUGAUCUGAAUUUUAUUUUUUAUUUUUUCAACAGUUAUUGUUAUGUUUCAUGCCUGGUUUCAUUUUGAUGUGAACAGUUUGUCCUCUUUUCAGGUGUUUUGUAGGUUUGGAGUCAUUGAAGAUAUUUAUAUGGCAGUCGACGACAUGAAGGUUAGCCGUGGUAUGUCCUUCGCCCUUAAGAUAUUAAUUGUACUUGGUAAACUGUUAUGUCUGUUUGUCUUUGGACAAACACUUGGGAAACAUCAUUUUAUAUAAAUGCCAGGGAACUAUCUAUAUGCAACUCGCUUUAAUACCUUGCUCUUAGCUAAUUUAUUAGGUCUCUGCAGGGUUUGCAUUUGUUCAGUUUUCUCGGAAGGAGAUGGCACUAGCAGCAAUCAAAGGGUUAAAUGGAGUAUUUACCAUGCGGGUAUAGUUCACAUACUUCUUUUUUGUUGAUUGUUUCUCAGUGCCUCAGUGUUUAUUUGAUCACUUCCUUCGUCUUUCCUUUCAGGGUUCUGAUCAGCCUCUGAUUGUUAGAUUUGCAGACCCUAAAAAACCUCGUCUAGGGGAACCAAGGUUCUACUCUUUGCUUUUCCUUUUUUUUUUUAUGUUAUUUAUUUGAGGAUUUGCCUAGUUUUCUUUUGAAUUGCAAAGUCAUCUUCUUGGUUCUUACACUUUAAACUUACCGGUGUCACCCCCCUAUGGUUGUGUCACUUAGCUAUAGUUCUUGAAGGAUUUGCUUUCAAAAGUUUUGCAGUAGCACUAAUACAAUCCUGAUAUCACUCCAUCAUCUCAACAUUAUUUCAAUGGUUAUGUGUCUUCAGGUUUAACUUUAACGCUCCACCUGCAAUGCAACAAUACGACCCAAAUUGGCACCCACAACCAUAUCCCCAAUGGGGAAACAAUGAACAUGCAGCUCCUAGAUUCGUUGAUUUCGCUUCUCAGCCAAAUCACUUCCCGCAGCAAAAUGCUCAAGCAGUAUCCGAGUUUCAACAACCGCUGCAUCAGAAAUCUGAGACUGCCAGCGUGAAGGUACUCCUUUUGUAGUAGGAUCUUAUUGCUAAUGGUAGACGGAUAUUGAACUCUGGACCAUGAGUUUAUUUAUAUAGAGGGGUUUAGGUUUUCAUAAAUCUCUUAUUCACGCAUCUGCUUCAUCUUCAUAUCUAUAACUACUUUUGUGUAGACUAGAAGCGAUGGUCAGAAGAUUUCUAGUCGUUCAAAUGCCAUCCAUGAAGAUCAAAAUACAGAAGAAUGUGACUGGAGUGAGCACACUUGUCCUGAUGGGAACAAGUAUUAUUUCCAUUGUGUCACUUGUGAAAGCACGGUAAUACUUUUUUUCCCUCUUUCAUUGUGCACUCCACUCAAGCAAUUUGUCUAGUUAGUUAAAAUGAUUUAUAUGGAUGGAGCACACAGUGGGAGAAACCAGAGGAGUACUCCAUGUUUGAGAGAUGGUUCGACGAGCAAAUAAGGCUACAAGAUCAAAAUAUUGCCAAGAGCCAAGAUGCAAUAAAAAACACCCAGCAAGAUGAGUCUACUCUAUUGGAACAGACUACUAAACUCCAACAACAAUCCUUAUCCACAGCGGUUAGAUAUAUCAUUUCUUGACACACUUGGACUUCCAUAUAGUUAGUAUCUUCCUACAAGAAGAGUAGACUCCAUCCAAUCUUUCAUCUGAUGUGUGUGUUUCCAGGAUCAGGAGAACAAUUCAGUAUAUCCGGUAGUAACAAGAGUGAGUGGCUGUUGAAACGUCGUGUCCAUAAAAAUGUCUCAGGUAAUUAAUUGAACAGUUGAUUCUCUCUCUGUUUAUUAAAAGGACGCUAAAUACUACAUCUCACAAGAUCUUAUAUCAUCCUUCUUAUGUUUCAAUACAGGACAAGUCACUAAACAAGUAUUUUGGAAAGGGGAUUCAAAAAAAAGUUAAGAAAAGAAUAGACCUGAGUUUAAAGAAGUUGAUUUCUUCAAGAAUGGGAACAUUUGGUAAAUAUUUGUUGGAAUCCAAUAGAAAAGGGGUGUGAUGAGAGUGGCAUAAACUUUGGGACUUGUGAAAAACCAUAGGGACCACUGAUGAUGAUGAUCCAUCUAGAGAGAUGUAUGUUUGGUUUAGAAACCUCUGCACCUUAUAGUCUCUCACAUUUGCUCUAUUGAUGAUGUCCACCACACCUACCUUAAAAAAAAACGCUUUCAUGGUCAUUCACGCAUUUGAUAUGAAUCCCACCAGAUAUCUUAGUUGGAUUAUAUUUGAAAAAUAUUUACUAUAAAUCGACAACUGCAAGUUAACUAAAAGUUGGAGUUUAUAAGGUAAAUAAAACCACCUAUAAUUUCCACCUGAUCCGAACCAAAAACUAAAAUCCAUUUCACAUUUCAAAGUGCCUCUGGGCGAAAGAGAGGGUUCCUCAUCGUCAAUCAAUCAUGUUCCUUUUAAAAGGCCCAAAUAGAUUUGCAGACCAAAGAAAGAAGCCACUUUCUUUGCAGAAACAAACAUCAACUUACUCUCCAUCAGCUAACGAACAAGAAAGAAGCACAAGGUAAGUGUUAAGUUUCUCGGUCCUGUCUAGAUCGGUGAUUUAUGGAUCUCAUAGAGAUUAGAUUAUUCCCUGCAGAAGCUAACCGCUUUUCGAAUCUGAUUGUUCCUAUUGAUUGUCUUCUCCUAGGUGGUUGGGAUCUAAAAGCUGAUGGCGAAGAUCAAGCCUCAAGCUCUAUUGCAGCAAAGCAAGAAGAAGAAAGGACCUGCUCCUAUUAGCAUAACCAGCAUCGUGAUUUACACCUUGGCCGUGCUUUUGGUCGUCUUCGUCCUCUUCUCCGCCUACAAACGUUGGACCCUCAGGUUCGGUUCUCUAUCAAAAUUCAGAUUUGAUUCUAUCACUAUUAGUUUAGAGAAAUUAUUCUAAGAUGUGAAAAAAUGACUUCUUGUGGGCUUACAGAUCUGAGAUCCCAACCCACAAUGGUAGAUCACUUCUUCAGGUUACUAUUAUUCUCUCUGUCUAUGUCUUCUCAUAGUUAUACCCCCCUCCUUUGUCAAAUGAUUGUCUUGUUGUUGUGUAGGAUCCAGCCUUCCCUGGAGUGAAGAAGAAUACUAAUCUCCCAUGGUUUGCUGUGAGUUUCAUUAUCAUCCCCCCAAUUAUAUUUAUACCCCUAUGUCUUCUCUUUGUUUUUUUCUGAAUCUUUUCCUCUCUGUUUGUUGAACUCUAGACCUUGGAUACUGGCAAAGGUUCAGUGACCAUUCAACUAUUCAAGGAUGCUGCUCCCAACGUUGUUGACGAAUUCAUCAACUUAUCGUAAGCAAUAACUUCACACUACUGUAUUUGCUUUGCCAUUUCUUUUUUAACACAAUGUUUUGUCAUUGGUAUUUGCAGUCAAGAUGGGUAUUUCAAAGGUUUCUCAUUCAGUAGAGUUGUAAAGCAUGCUGUGAUUCAAGCUGGCCACUCUGCUCAGUUCGAUGCUGUCAAAGAUUGGGCUCUCCAAAGGAAUAAUCUUCAUACCAGGUUUGCUGCUUACUACAUUGUUAGCAAAUAAAAUAUAUGGAGAAAAAGCUUUGGCUUUUUGGUUUCUGGCUGAUUAUGGGGAACUCUUUCUAUCAUCUGUCUUGAUGCAGUUUAAAACAAGAAGAAUACAUGGUGGGAACCCCUAAAGCUAAAAACGAGCAAGGAGGAUUUGAGUUUUUCAUUGUAUCUUCUCAGAUCACAGACCUCAAUGAGAAAUUGACAGUCUUUGGUCGAGUUGUGAAGGGACAAGACGUUGUUAAGGAGAUCGAGGAGGUUGAGAUAGAUGAGCAUUAUCAACCAAAAGCACCAAUCGAGAUCAUGUCCGUCACUUUGCUUCAAGACAUGUGAAACCUGCUUUAUUACUUCUUUGUAUUAAAAAAAAACUCCAAAGUGAUUCUUGAUGUAUUAAUGCUUUGUAAUUUGAAUACUUUCCAUCACCUCAUUUGCAACUUUGUGGUAACACAAGUUUUAAGUUUCUAUCUUCUGUAUAAUUCUCUCGUAGCUAGUAAACAACACGUGUGACAUUUAAAAGAUAUUCGAGAGCUAAAACAAAAAGGUAUCGCUAAUGUUUUUUACACAUGAUGAUACAAGGAGGAUACUGUAAAAAACACUUGAAAUCAACUAUCCCAACCAGAUCUCCUUUUCCUCUCUCUUGGCCGAUCUUCAGAACUGCAACAGUAGGGUCAAAUAAUGUCAGCCAACUCUAAAGAUUAUAAAUCAAACCUUACAAGAAAACAGUGCUGCAACUAAUAGGAAACAAACCUCUGUGUAUUCUUUUGACUCGAGUGAUGACUAGUUGCUACUGGGGGAGUUUGAGUUUGAGCUCUACCCAUGUCCCCACCAAUGGCCCCACCUGAGACAAAUCCCGUUAGGGCGGGUCUCUUGUUCGGAUAAGCUUGGUUUGAUGGCGUAGCAGCCACAAAGCUAUUCUUGAAUUGGGCCAUUACUCCGGUUCUCACAGAAUUGAUCACCCCUUUCUACUUGGUGCAGCUUGAGACGAUGUCCCACUUGAUUCCGAGUUAAAUCCAAUACCAAGACCAAAAUCAACUCCUCGUACUCCUCUAUUUCCACCACCUCGUCCUCCACCUUUCUUCCCACCUAUGUAACAAGAGUUUUAGAGAUCAUGCACAUGUUUUUGAAUGGAUUGGCUCAAUUCACUUGACAAAACGCAUGUGCAAAGAAAAACAUUGAUCACAGUCUUUUCCCUUUUGGAUCCAAAUCUAAUCAUAAGGUUUCCGUCCGCAGAAUGCAUAAUAAUGAAUAUAGCUAAAGUAUGCUUACCUCCUUUUCUUCCGUCACGCUUGGACUUGAAUCGUCCAUCCUAUUGAUUUGCAAAGGUAAAUUUCACUCAACAAUCAUGUUUUCGUUUUAUGCAAAAUAACAAUCAUAUUGGAGCUAGUAAGUUGAGCAAUCAUAGGAUACUGAAAGAUAGAAGCAAUGAUAUUUAUUGCAUAUAUCAAUAGAAUGAUGUCAAUGAAAAGGAGCUGUUAAUAUUACCUUCAUGGCGAGAUCCAUGAGUUCUGGAGGCACAUUCUGACCAGCAGCAACCAGACUGUUAAUCAGUUCACCAGCAAAUCUAGCCUCUCUCUGCGUAACAAGUGUGUAGGCAACCCCAUCUUUGUCACCAGCACGACCUGUUCUACCAAUACGAUGUACAUGCAUGUCCAUGUCUUUAGCAGUGUCGUAGUUAACCACUGUCUUAAGCGAUUUAAUGUCGAGACCUCGGGCAGCAACAUCGGUGGCAACUAGCACAUGGUAGAUUCCAGAUUUGAACUUCUGCAACGUUUCCAUUCGUGAUGCUUGGUCUUUAUCACCGUGAAGGGCAGCAACUUUAAAACCGUUCAGAGUCAGCUGCGCUUCGAUCUCAUCAACCGUGGCCUUUUUAGAAGCGAAAACCAAUACAUCACCUUCAUCAAUCAUUCCAGGUAGCUUCUCAAGUAGCCAAGGAAGUUUGUCAGCAUCUGAUGGUAUCACAUUGACAACCUGUGUAAUAUCUUCAUUAGCCAUCCCAGCUUCACCAACAGUGACUCUAAUGGGAUCCGAAAGGAUCUCCCUAGCUAACUUUUCAACUUUCCAAGGCAUAGUGGCUGAAAACAGUAAAGUCUGGCGAUCUGGACGAAUCUGGCCAACGAUAGACCUCACUUGCGGCUCAAAACCAAGGUCAAACAUCCGAUCAGCCUCGUCAAGAACCAGAUACGAGGCUCUCAUCAUUGUCAAAGCCUUCAUCUUCAGCAUAUCUAUCAACCUUCCAGGAGUAGCAACAACUAUCUCGCAUCCCGCCUUGAGUUCUUUCAACUGCUCAUGUUUCCCCAUUCCACCGUACACAGCUGAGACUCGUAAGCCAUACGCUUUCGAGAAUUUCUUCGCUUCCAAGAAUAUCUGAUGCGCCAGUUCUCUAGUUGGCGCACAUAUGACACCAAUAGGACCUUCUUCUCUCUGAAGCUCAGGCUGGUCCAUAAUAUGCACAAUCAUGGGAAGAACAAAAGCUGCGGUCUUCCCUGAACCAGUUUUGGCUAUGCCAAUAACAUCUCGACCAGAGAGCACAACCGGUAAAGCUUGACACUGUAUGGUUGUUGGUUUCUCAUAAGCUUGUUUCUUGAUAGCACUCAUGAUCUGUGUGGAAAAACCACAAUCCUCAAAGGUCUUUACUGCCUUAGGAACAUCAAAUCCGGACACACGAAUCCCCAAACUCUUACGAUAAUCCAAAGCUUCUUGUUCACUCAUCCCUGGACCAAUAAGAAUUGAUCAGUUGAGUCAAUCUAAACACACAAAAUAAACUCAAUUUCGAUAAAACUUACUGGCUAUUGAUUCAACCUCCUCGUAGAAGUCCUUAUUGAUCGGUUCGUAAUCAAUUGAACUAUGAUCAAGAGCUUGAAUCGGCUCGAUCUUCCUUUUAUCCACAACAAUCGGAUUAUCAUCGGAAUCGAACUCCAGCAUCCCCGCAUCUACUGCCUUAGCUGCAGCAUACACCUCCUCGUCGGAGUUGUAACCUGCGUUAAGCGCGUCCGCAGCUAGCGUGAGCCCCAAAUCCUUCUUGGCCUUGAGGAAACUCACGACAUGAUCGUCGUCUUCGUCGUCCUUGUACCUCUCUACUUUCUCCUUUGGCUUGGGAGGUGGAGCAGCCUUCAUCUCCUCGUGGAUUCCCUUCAUGAAUGCGUCUAGUGGAUCGAUCUCGUCGUUAGCAGAUGCAGAGGCGCCGUUGUCAACGUCGUCUUCUUCAUCCUCUUCGUUUUCUGUAAAAUCAAUGUUAUCUACAUCGGCGUCUUCUGAGUUAUCUCCGCCGCGAAACCUCGUAGAGUUCCGAAUAGACAUGACUUCGAAUUUUCCCGGCGAUAUGAUUUCCCCGGAGGAGUUUCGCCGACUUGUCGAAGUUUAUAUGAUUGGGCAAAUACUGGGCUUCAUUACGUACUUAGUUCAUGGAAAGCCCAUAUAUGUCUUUACAUCGUUAAAUUUCUUCCAUAUGAAACGCGAAAGCUGGAUAUUCCAUCAAUGUAAACAUCAUCUUCAACAAAUAAAAGCAGUAUAUUGCAGACUUCACCUUUGAUAAUCAUCAUGCACUCAGUAGCCCAAAUCAAGGCUUUACAUUUUGCAUGCAAAAGCAAUAGGCUUUGUCGUAUAUUCAUCGACCCCAUGAUCUUGACAGUUGAAUCCCCUGUGAAUGAAAACCAACUUUGUCCAUAGGAUUUAUCUUUUUCCUUCCAUGAAGCAUCUACAUAACACCAUCGCACAUCCUUCAUUGUUGUCCCGGUGGCACCACAUAAAAUUUGCUGUUAUUUUCAAUUAUGUAAGUUGUGCCUCGGCCUAGAAGGUACCCUCAAAGUUUGCGACACACAAAAAGUUAUGCAUGAGCAAAACAUAUCUAUUUAUUUAUAUUAUAAUUAGUAAAGUGAUUUUUCGCAUUCAACUUUCUCGUUCAAAAGUUAGACUAGUUAGUAUCUUUUAUACUCUUAAUGAAUAAUUAAUUUUAUUUAUUAUAUUUGUUAACAAUUAUUUAUCUGUAUUUUUUAUUAAAUUUUGGACAAUAACAUAAUAAAUAAUUUUUAGAUAAUGGUAAUAUAUAAUUGAAUUUCUUUUUCGUUCCAUUAAUAUUUAUACAAACUUAUUAUUAUAUAAAACAAUAAAUACUCUUAUAUAAAUAUACUUUUUCUAUGAUGACGAAUUAUUUACAAGUUCGAUCAGGUUAAACUGCAAAAUUUAUUUGUAUUUGUGUACACAUAAUAUUAAAAUUAACACCACAAUUAUUUAGUGUUCUACUGUCCAAAAAAAAAAAUAUCCACAUAAUCACUUCUAAAAAUUUCAAACUCAAACAAACCAACAAAUCAUAAUGUUUCUUUCCAGCGAGUUCAAUAAGUGUUGGUUCACUUCAAGCAUAUUUGCUUUGAUUAAAGAAUCUUGGGUUGUUAUACGGACAAAGCUCUAACAAUAUGUAAAUAAUUUUUUGAAACAUUAGAUAUAGCUAUGAGAGAUCUAUUCAAUUGUGAUAAUAUAUGUAAUAAUAACUAUUUAUAAAAUGAUUAUGUCUGCAUAUGCUGGCAAAACACCUAAUCAUCAAGUAAUCUAAAAAAAAUAUGCAUGAAAAAAUAUAUAUCAUCAAGUGUUAACUUCUAAUACUAUCUUAAUAAAAAAAUGUAAAAUUUACCCAUAUAUAUCCGAUUUUUUUAUCGAGUAGUUAUUUUAUUAAAUUAAGUUUUGAUAUAUGAUAAAAUUGUUAAUCCCUUCAUUUAUAAUUUACAUGCAAAAAAAAACAAUGUACUUCAUCGUUUAGCCUCUUUAGUUAAAGAGUUGGUAAAUUUAAGAAUAUGAACUAUGCUAAACAUCUAAAGAUAAUCAUGCAAAAUCGGAAAACUAGUUAUGAAAAGAAAAUCCUACAAUGUAUUUACUAACAAAACUUUUGAAAAAUCUCAUUGGAUAUGUCAUCAAGUAAUUAUGCAUGUGCAAAACAUAUCAACAAGUAUUAAUUUCUAAUACUGUCUUAAAAAAAAUUAUUAAAAUUUACCCAUAUAUAUCCAACUGUUUUGUAUCGAGUAUUUAUUUUAUUAAAUUAAGUUUUGAUAUAAUAAAAAUUUGAAAAGAUAAUUUUAUCCCGUCAUUUAUAAUUUACAUGCAAAAAACAGCAUAUAUACAUCGUGGUUUAGCCUCUUUAUUUAAAGAGGUGGAAAAGAUAUUGUGAAUUUAAAAAUAUGAACUAUGCUAAACGUCUCAAAAUAAUCAUGCAAAAGCAAAAAACUAGUUAUGAAAAGAACACCAGAUAAUCUAUAGGUUUUCAGUUAUAUCUAUCAAAUCUAAGCAGUAUAUUUCAAGACAGAUUGAAGAAAUGUGAAUCUUACUUAUAUGUACGAUAUUACCCAAAAUAAUAUUAUUAUUUCUAGAAAAAAUUCAGACGAUCCAACUCUAAUUUGAGUCUUAUGGCUUCACCCUAAGUCAAGUGCUGGGCACAAGUCAUGCACUUGCUAUCUUUGAUACUUAAUUUGUUUUGUGUGAGUAAUAAAAAUUUGGACUUGGAACUUGACUUGUUGAAAAUGAGUACUUACUAUUUCAAACACCUGCUCAAAAUUAAGUUAUUUCUUACGAUCUAUUAAUUGCUACGUGCAAGUACUCCAGAAUAUUUAAAAUGAUUUGAUAAAUAAUAUUCUACUAGAAAUGGAUACGAAAAUUUAUUUUAUUUACUUACAAAGAAAGAACAUAACAAUUAUUAUAAGCGAAGUAUUUAUAAGGAAGAAUUAACAAAAACAUGAAUCUCUCCAUAUACCAACAUUUUUUACUUCUCACAACAACAAAAAUGUUUUCUUUUGACAAGUAAGAAGUAAUAUUAAACCGAGUAACUAUUUUCAUAUUUGUUACUACAUUGUAUUAUACGUACAAAUAUCUAAAUUCUAUUAUUUGAGUCUGGGUAACAAGAACGAGUAACUAAAAUAUCGAGAUGGAUACGAAAUAAGUAACAAGUAUAAAACAUAAGACGUCGAAUAUCCAAUGAUUACGUCCGGCCUUAGGUUACCAAACCAUGAUGUAUGAGGAGGCAUUAUCUUUUUUUUUUCUUUUUUAACGUCUGAAUUGAUUCAAAUAAAAGGGAGGUAUGAACCUCAAAUAAGUAACAAAAGCCUUAGAUAACUAAGGAGACGAAACAAAUAACGAGUAUAAGAUGAUGAAUAACCAGUAAUUGUAUCCAGUCCUAGAUUACCAAACCAUGAUGCACAAGACAUCACAUCUUAUUUUGUAAUUGUUUUUUUGUUUCGUUAUUCUUUUGUAAUGGCAUCAAGUGGAAGGAGAACACGUGACGUUGAGGGACAUGACACAGUAAGGCAGGAUGGGCUAACAUACACGCCGGAAAUAAUCUUCUUAACAUGCGCACCUAGAGGUCUAAAAACGCCCAAAAUAAACGCAGCAGAGGAGAGAAAGAAGGAAAGAGAUAUGAGUGGAGUCGAGUUACGAAAUGAGUCGGCUCAGCGAGUCUACUACAUCUGUCCAAAGGGAGGGAGGGGGGGAGGGAAAGGCAAAAACAAACCCUUAUGUAACCGAUAGAAAAGGGAUCUUUAGAUUUUAUCCCUUUUUUGGAUGGGUGUUGAAAUAGCACAACAAAUGGUGAAGGAUGAGGAGAUUAUUACUCUCUCCCCUCUUUACUUCUCCUUCUCCUCUUCCUCUCCCGUCUCUCGCCCUAACCCUAAUUCUCCCUCGAUUCAAUCCUCCUUCUUUUCCCCAAAUCCCACCUUUGGGGCUUCCUUUCAUCCUCCUGAUUCGGCGAUCUAGGUAUUCUCUGCGGUUGAUUGUUUCCUGAGAUGAAUCGUGUCUGUUUAUCGUCAAGUUUGUUUUUUUCUGUCUUCAUACUCUUCACAGGACAGCCUUUCGUUUGAUUUUGAUUCGAUCAUUUGAUUUUGGGUUCAAUCCAUCGAAUAUUGUGUUGAUCUUCUCGUCUUGUGUUUAUCAGUUUGAUCUGAUGUUAUGGAUUUCAAUUCUCGUUACCAAAGCUUCUCUCUUUGUGAUCUCAUUGCAUGUCGAUCAUUUGUGUAUUGGGUUCUAUUCAUCUAAUAUUAUGUUGAUUCGCCUUUAGGAGUGUUUUCUUCUCGUCUGUGUGCGUCUCCGUUUGUUUGAUUUGGGCUUCUGAUCAUUUGAAAGCUUCUCUCUUUGUGAUCCCUCUAUAUACUUGGAUUGUUCUAAUGCAUCACAUGUUUUGCUUCGCAGUGUUCCCACCUUGGAGUGAGAGUGUAUUGGCCUCUCUGUAUACUCUACAAUGGGCGAUAAUGGUGGUGGUUCUCAUUUUGAUGCUAUCAAGAAUACCGUGAGGAAGAAACGCAGCCUUAUUCCUCGUCGUCCUCGCACUGAAGGAUUCAGUCUUUUCACACCUCCACAUCACUUCUCGAGUGAUGAUAUACCCGCAUUUGAUACUAACCCUAGAAGGAAAGAGUUUAGUCUUAGCCAUUGUAUAUCCAGGGCUGAUUCCCAAACAGGAAACAAUGAUUCUCUGCAGAGAGAGGCAACUGAUUUGGGUGAAAGGAAGAGAAUGAAGCUUAAGAUUGGUGGUGUGAGUCGUCUGGCUCAUGCUAAUGGUUCACCUCGAAAGUCUUCCAAACCGGUGAAUGCUACUACUACCAACCAUUUGGAGGUAAUAUUAUCCUACUUUGACAAAGCUCAAGUUGUUUGAAUUGUCUUGAGAUUUAUCAUCCUUUUGCAUUGAGUAUCUUUUGCGGUAAAUGCCAUGCUCUUUUCAGUAAAUUCUACUCUUUUUUGGGGGGGCCUUACGGCCCAUAAUCUUUCGGGUUUGGGGGACUAGACUAGGUUUAGUAAGCUUAAACUAGUGUGAUUUGCUGUUUUGGGACAACAAUUAGAAUAAUGUUUAGUAUUUUGCAUUUAACUUUUAUUAUUCCGGAAAGGAUUAGAUUGUGUCUUAAUAUCUUUGCUACACUUUUUCACAGAUUAGAUACCACAAACUCAUUAUCUUUUGACAUUUAAUGGCAGGAAAGUUCAGCAGAUUGUAACUCCCCUCUAGAUAAGAAGGCUGAUCUUGAGAAAGACGAAUCCAUGACAGGGAGGAGAAAACAAGGGGAACCAGGUGGCUCGGUUCGCAAGAGCAAACGAGCCCUUAAGAAGCAGGUUUCUGAUAGCGAUGAUGACAAUGAUGGUGAGCUCCGAUUUUUGGAAACGCUCAAGGUUAAGCCACCUGGGGUUACAAUUGGGGGAAAUUCUGCAUCUGAAAAGGCUUCUGAUGACAUGGAUGCGGAGGAACUUGAUCCAGUGCCUGAUGGAAUAGAGAUUGGCAACGAGAUUAAGAGGGAAUCGACUAUGACUAGUCGCCAGCGAGCCCUUGCUUCUGCAUCUGGCAAAUCAACCCCAGUUGAAUUUCAAGAUGGAUUACCUCCUACAUCGAGAAGUAUGCUUCUUUUUUCUUUGGCUUUUAGAUUCACGAGUAUGCAUCUUUUUUGCAAUAAAGGUUGGUAAUGUAUUGUGAUGAAAAUUUCUGUUGAAAAAUAGGGAAAAGAGAGAAUCUUUCAGAGAUGGAGCAGCAAGUGAAGAAGGCUGAAGCUGCUCAAAGGCGAAAAGUGCAGGUUGAGAAGGCUGCAAGGGAGUCUGAGGUUGGUGUUUUACUCUCUCUCUCUCUCUCUCUCUCUCUCUCUAUGGUGAUAUACAGAUUUAAAAUGUAUCGAAAUCCAUGUGAGGGAUGAUGGUCUUGAUUUUGUGUCUACAGGCAGAGGCGAUCAGAAAAAUUCUAGGCCAAGAUUCGAGCAGGAAGAAGCGUGAAGACAAGAUUAAAAAGCGACUUGAUGAAAUUGCUCAGGUAUUGGGAAAUGCACGACUAUGCUGUUGAUGCGUUAUAUAUUUGAGUAAAACUGAGAUGCUGAAUGUUUGGUUGUCAUAUAUGCUAUGAAUUGAUGAUAACAGGAGAAAGCUGCGCAUGAGGAAAGGGUCUCUACAAGCUACAUCAGAACAAUAAUGGGUCCUAAUGGAACCACUGUUUCAUUUCCCAUUGACAAAGUGCCUAGCCUGUUCGAUCCUAAACCAUCCGGGUAUGGUGUUUCCUCUGUUCUUUCUCACAAACUCAAAUCAGACUAGUUCAUGAGUCAAUGUCCCUAAUUUCAUAACUGAUUUGAUCUGAUCAAUGUGAACACCUAUACAUGAUUCAAAUGUUUUUUUGGUAUGGAGGAAGGCUCUAGAGUUCGGCUUCUUUUGUUCUUUGGAUUCUGUUUUGUAUUCUAACGUUUCAUAAAAACAUAACGAGUAGUUCAAACCUUUGUGAUAACAAUGUAAAGCAUUUUGUGUAUCUGCAGUUAUCCUCCACCGCGAGAAAACUGCGCGGGUCCAUCGUGCACCAAUCCGUACAGGUAUCGUGAUUCAAAGACUAAGGUUCCUCUGUGCAGCCUCCAAUGCUACAAGGCGGUUCAGGAGCAGCAGCAGCAGCAGCAGCAGACCUCUGAACCAGCAACCGACCCCACCCCACCACCGGAGCAGACCUCUGAACCAGCAACCGACCCCACCCCACCACCGGUUUAGAUAGUGAUUGUUUUUUUUUCUGGAUAUAAAAGGACAAGAACUUAGAGCGUUAUCAUUGUUGCAGUGAGGAGCUUCUUAGCUUCCUCAUUUUAUUACAUGCAGACUACAUGAUUCAGUAUAUUUUACUUUACUUCAGACUUAUCUGAUCGGAGAGUUCAGUUUUCUUUUGUGGCCGUCCAUUUAUUUUUUACCAAACCAUUGCCGCUCAUAUAAUUUUAUUCUCCAACGGCUAUCUCAGUUCUUUAAUAAUAAAAUACAUGAUACAAUGUGCUCUCUAUUAUUAGAAGCAAUCUUCAUGGUCAUGUAGUUUACAGUGCAUCGUGAUUCUUAGCUUUGUUUACGUCUCUAAUGAUCAUAACUUCCGUUUUCUUAAAAUUAUCUCUUUUUUUGUUAAAGAAAUGGUUAAAUCCAGUUCUAUUAAAAAACACCUAACUUUCGAGUGAGAAAAUUAUCUUUCUCCCAUAAGAAUCCAUACAUAACACAUAAAUACAAAUACAAUAGUGUUCAAAAUAGUGUUCUAGGCUGCUGCUUAAAUGAUGUCUAGGCACUUGGCUCAAAAAUACUGGAGUCCAUUUUUUGUCUCAAUACUGUGAAAAUUACUUUAUUUUCUGCCACAAUAAUUAUAUACUUUAUUUUCUCAAUUUUACAAUUGAUUUAGAAGAUUUGCGUAGUUUCAAAAUAUAUGAUGUCUAAACGUACGGGUAUCUUUUUCAUUUUAUAAAAAAACGUUUCAAAUAUAUGAUAUAAAUUUUAGUAUUAUAAAUUGUAUAACUCUCUAUAAUCUUAUUUUAUAAGUUUUUAUUCAAUAUUAUUAAUAUGUAAAGAUCUGUUUUAUAUAUUUUACUUUGUUACUAAUUGUUAUUACAUACUAAUAUAUUGUUGAGUCAUGUACAAUAAAUUCAUAAUAUGAAAUAAAAAUAUUUGUAAAAAUAUGGUUAUUAAUUUCUAAAAUUUGCAUACAAUACAUUUUUAAGGUUUAUUUAUAUAUACUAUAGAAAUGGUAUUUGUUUAAGAUAAUUUAGAUCUUCAUAGUUUAUAUUUUCAUGUUGUGUUUAAAAAAUAUACUUAAACAUCUAUCAUUUUAGUAUAGUUAGAGAUUUCAUAAGUAAAUGCAUUGUUCUAUUGUUGACAAAAAAAAAUACAUUGUUCUAUUUUUCUGUUUAAAUAAUUUAGCCCUAUUAUUUUAGAAAAUUUUAUAAUAAAUUUAAGAAAUUUUUGAUAAGAUUUUUCUCAACGGAUUCUGUUAUAGUUAAAAAUAAACAUUAAGUUUAUACUUAAAAUUUAUUUGUCAUUAAUAUCUUUAAUGAAUUAUUAAAAUUAAUUUUUUUCUAAUAGCAUACUUUGUAAAUAACACAUGAAAAAUGUUAGUUAUAAACUAUUAUAUUUUGUAUAUAAUUAUUUCUAGGUAGCAAUUGUUAUGAGUCUGUUUUCGUUUGAUUACAAAAAAAACAUAUUGUUGUGAGUUUCAAAAUAAAUAAAAUAAUAAUAUAUAUAAAAAAUUAACAUAUGUUAAUUAUUUUAUUUAUUGUAUAAAAAUAUUACAUAGGUUAUAAAUUUUAAUAUAUAUUGGAUUUUUCGUAUUUUUAAUAAAUAGAAUAUCAACAUAAAUCAAGUUUUGCCAUAUUAUUUAAUUAAUGUAAGUGACAAAAUCGAUACACGUUAAUUAAAUAUAGUCAUAUAGUAUUAAAUUUAUGAAAAAGGUCAUUAGCAGAUGAUUUGUAUGACUAUUAUUACGUGGCCAUUUGAAAAUUGUAAGUGAUUAGUGAAUAUUUAUUAUAUAAUUUAUUAAAUAGAUUGUUUGGAAUCAAGAUUGGGGAGAUCUUAAUAACUUAAUUUUAAUUUCUAUUUAUUUAUAUCCUUAAUUUUUCUGGUCUAACAUUUAAUUAAGAAAAUAACUUUAAUGAAUUAAUUUCGGCAAUAAGCGUUUACACUCUAGUUCUUGGUCUGACCACCAAGAUCACAGCCUCAGAUCCCAACAGCUCGAUUCCCUUUUCUCCACAUGUCACCAUGGCGUGGCUCACGCUCGAGUUCCAACGGUUUAAUCAUCGGAAGUGAACGAAACUUCUUGAGCAGGCUAGUGUUUUUCUGUGGUCUUCACGAGGUAAUGCUUCUGUGGUGUAGGGUGAUCGUGAGACCAGUGGUGGACAGCACGUUGAUUGGAGGAGACGCCGGUCACCACCGGAGAGAAGAGACGGUGGUGGAUAGAGUGGCUUUGGCCGUGAGCUGUGGGACGUUGUGGUGGUGGAAGCUUCGGGAUGAAAUAGAGGCUUUAGUUGGUGUGGCAGAGGCUAAAAGAGCAUUGUUGUUAUUAUUACCAACCGAUGGUAAUGCUAACGUUAGUUUGGAUGUGGGAACGGUUGAUUUUGUGAAUUGGUGGUUAUACUAUAUGGUUGUGAUGAUUGGUAUGGUUAGGAUCGUUAAAGGGUCUUUGUGGUUCGGAAUGAUUUUGCUUUUCGAACAAGGUAGUAGAAGAAAUCCACGUGGAAAUGCCAGUGCUACUCAUGUUUCUACAACUUCUUCUGUUCAUUAUGACGAUGAAGGUGACACUAAAGUGUAAUAAGUAACAAUUGGUUAUAGGGUCACAAGUGGGGAAUGCAAUUUUUUUGUGUGUGUUUUGGAUCCAAGUUCUUACACCUAAUAUACGAAGGUUCAAGUUGAUAUUUGUAAUGAGAAAGAUGUUAACAAGUUCAUUACUGGAAUGAAAUUUGAUAGAAUCAUAAAAAAAAACAUUAGCACCAGCAAUAGGGCUGGGAUCAUGUAUUGGGGUUGGUUUCGGGGAAUGUUACAAAAAAAAAAAAAAAAAAAAAGGCAGACAUAGAAUGUUAGUGUCUGUCUAUCAGUUAGGUUAGGCCGACCAAACUUGUUACUCACCCCCUUGUUAGGCCUCAAGGGAAAACGAAAAACUCAAGUUAAUAAUAAAUAGACCGGGCUAAGAAGUGAGCCCAGUGAGUCGGGUGGGAAAAUAUUAUAAUAUCCACUAGAGUAGAGUAGACCAUUUUUAAUUCAGUUCAGCUUAUUUGUUCGCGUUGUUCGUCUCCUCCUUCUCCGCACCACAUCCGACUUGGUAAAUCCCCAAAUCCAUCAUUCUUGAUCUCUCUGUUUAUUGCUUUUGAUUUCUUGUUUUAUGCCGAUCCUUCUUCUAGAACAAGUACUGAUGAGAUUUCUUAAUUAGUUGAUUCGGAUUUCGAUUCCUAGCCGAUGUGCUUCAAAGAUGUAAUUUUGGAUCGCUUCAUUGAUAUUGAAACAAAGUCUUUGAUUAGCUAAUCACCGAUUGCCUCAAGAAGUAAGAUCCAUAGGCUAUUAUUGUCCAUUGAUCCAAGUGUUCAUCAUUGAUAUGUCCAUUAAGAAAGAACUGUUGUGAACUUGUGAUAAAAAUGAGAGUCUACCUUUGUUUUAUAUGAAUUUGGUCAUGCAUUAUAUUUCUAGCUUUUUGGUGAUGAUUGAUUGUAUACUUUUCAUGUUUGAUUCGUGGUGUAAUAGUAUGUUUGUAUAUAUAGUCAAUAGUACAUUUAUUGUUUGAUCCCAUCUAAUAUCCAUUUUUCUAUAUGCGAGUUGUUUGUUGUGAAUCACAUUUCCAGCUUUGGUGUAUUGAAAAUUGUAGGAAGUACUGAUUCAUGUUUGAUCUUUUCUUUUGGGUUGUACUGUAUCAGUUUGAUAGGCUGAGAAAUCAAAGAGAUGGCAGGACACAGGGUUGCACAUGCCACACUUAAAGGGCCUAGCGUUGUGAAGGAGUUAAUCAUCGGUAUGGCACUCGGUUUAGCUGCUGGUGGUCUUUGGAAGAUGCACCAUUGGAAUGAACAGAGGAAAACCAGAGCCUUCUACGACUUGCUUGAGAGAGGUGAGAUCAGUGUUAUUGCCGCCGAAGAGUAAUAAAAGCUCUGCUCACAGACUCAUUCUUCAAAGACUGAUGGAUGAUUUCGAAUUCUAUUUUUUUUGUUUCUGUUUAUAAUAACUCUGAGAUGAGUUUGGAUUUUGUGAGAAAUAAACAAAUCUGAGAAUGAGAUUUGGUAGAUCAUAAACUGAUUUUAGUGUGAUGGUCGAUUCAGACAAGCUUCCUUGUUUUGUUUUGUUUUGUUUAAAAAGUUAGUAUUAUUUUAUGGAACCUUAUUCAUGGAAUUUGUGCAUUUGACAAUGUUUCCAACUCAUGAUAUUAUUUGGAAUCAGAAUCUUUGAAAGGAAAAUAUAGCUUGUGUUGCAUCUGUGAUCUGCCAUUGCUUUGUCUCCUGUUUCUUCAAGAGACUGAAAAAGCAUAACCAGGAUAGAUAUCUGAAUGUCUUUACGGCUGAGUUUUGUAAAAAAUAAAAAUUAAUACCUAAAAUAUAAAGUGUUGUGGAAUAAAUAUCUGAAUACACAUGGUGCAAUACGCUUGGUUGCUAGGAGAUAAGAAAAUCGUGAUCACAGAGUUCUGUAUUUAUCUUCUUCUCCUCCCUACAUCAAAAAAAUUAUCUCCUCCUCCCAUCAAAACUCUCCAAAGAUGACAACAGUAGCCGCAACAGGUAUCAACGUCGCGACUCCACGACUGGUCAUUCGACCAGCGGCUCGUCUAUACGCCCCGGUCCGUUUGAAUUACCCGUGGAAAUUCGGUUCGAUGAACCGGAUGGUUACGUCGGUGAAGGCGACAUCGGAAGGAGGGAUGAUAUCGGAUAAGGUGGAGAAGAGUAUUCAGGAAGCGAAGGAGACUUGCGCUGACGAUCCUGUGAGCGGAGAGUGUGUGGCGGCGUGGGACGAGGUGGAGGAGCUGAGCGCCGCGGCGAGUCACGCUAGGGACAAGAAGAAAGCUGGUGGAUCCGAUCCUUUGGAAGAAUACUGCAGUGAUAAUCCUGAGACUGAUGAGUGUCGUACUUAUGACAACUGAAAAUGUUUUUUCUAUCUUGUUGCUGUCGUCUGUGUUUGGUUUGGUUCGUAUGGUGCUUUUCUUUUUGUUUGGUUUUCGUAAGUUGUAAUGUGAUAAUGAAUAUGAUGAAUAUUACAACUACAAUACUCAUCAGGUGUUUCAUUAAUUCGCUGUGUUUCGUGAGGUGUACUAUAGUUUGAUGCCUGAAAAUGUUUUUGAUGUCUGAAAAUUUAGGUACCGGUUACGCGAAGAUGUUUAUUUUACUCGCAGCUAAAUUUUGUUUUUUUUUUUAACUUAUUCCACUGAUGCUAAACAUUUUCAAACAAAAUAAAAUAAAAGUAAUUAGCUUAAAUUAAGAUUCAAACGAAUAAAAUAAAAAAUGACCCGC
rnacentral:lncRNA from 1 species